CCGCCAGCCUUGACCUCCCAAAGUACUGGGAUUACAGGCGUGAGCCACCGCGCCCUGCCUAUAUUUUUAUAUUUACUUUUUUUUUUACUUUUAGGUUUGGUGGUCCAUAUGAAGGUUUGUUACAUAGGUAAACACAUGUCACGGGGGUUUGUUGUACAGAUUAUUUCAUCACCCAGGUAUUAGGCCCAGUACCCAAUAGUUAUCUUUUCUGUUCCUCUCCCUCCUCCCACCCUCCACCCUCAAGUAGACUCCAGUGUCUGUUGUUUCCUUCUUACACAAAUAUCUUUGAAAAUGUAGUAGAGAAUGGAAGUUGUCACAGGAUGGUCAAAAACAUGAGACCCCUGGAGAAUUGUCUCCCAACAAAGUAAGAGUGUGGGUUAAGAUGAGUAAAGGAAUACUGACAGAUGAAUGUCUGAUUUAAGUCAAAAGUAGAAGAGAAAGCCAAUGUCCAAAACAUUAGAACUAAAGGUCAAAAGAACUAGAGGAUAAAGAUAAUAUUAGGGUCACAGAGCUAAGAAAUUUGGCUUUUGCAGACUCAGAGAAAGCCAGGUGCAGCAAUGGAGUUAUCCUAAAACCCUGAUUGUUAUUUGUUGCUGGUGUGGGUCAGGCUGGCUUAUAACAUCAAGAACAGCAUGUACAUUUUUUGCCUCCAUCUGUGUGGUGGAACUUGAAAAAUUACAUACAUUUAUUUGUGAAGAAGGUGUGGGAGCAUGUAGAGAUCAGGCAGAGCUCAGUUUAGGAUUCAACCAAGAGUUCAACUUUACUCCAUUGCCUCGUUAUUAAGGACUUAACCUCUGACAUUGCCUUAGUGAGAGAGCAUUUAUCUAUGAUGCUGCCUUCAAGGAGCGAGCUCUUCUUUGGUGUUAAUUACUAGCAUAGCAGCAGGGCCUUUCAUAGACUUCUAAGAGGGACGAACACUGUGGUCAUCAGGCUUUAAAAUAUUUUCCCCAUCAAGACUUACUAUGUAUGAUAUAGAUAACUUCUCUGCCUAUGCUCACAGGUACUUCCUUGGAGAACAGAAGCCAAAUUCUGUCAUUGUUUGUCUCAGCCCUCCCCACAGGGCAGUGAUGAGAGUACAAAUGUGGGACCUGACCCAAGAGUGACACCCUAGAACCUUAAUGAGAGAAGAUAGGGAAUCCACAGUGAAGAUGCAUUAUUUCAGAGGAGACUGGAUCAAUAUUCCUUCUUCAACCUGUCACACAGAGAAGAGAGGCGCCUCUGUUUUCCCAUCAGGGAUGAGUACAGGAAACGGCAGCAUAUUUUCCACUUGUGAAUCUUGGUUUCCCUGUGGGCAAUGAUGUAUGGAACUUACGAACAAUAUGGGCAGAUCAACAAACAGCACAUAAAGGUCAUUAUGCAAUCUUUCUCGGACUCAGCUCUCUAAUUCUUAAGCCACAGCAAAAGAGAUGAAAUUCUGCCUGAACUAUUAUCCUCCAUUUACAGUUAAGUAAACUGAGGCCCUGGAAAAUGAGGCACUUUAGUUUUAAAAGCUGCUAAAGUCUAUUGCUACAUCAUGCAGACAAUGAACAAUGAGUGUUGGAGAAUGUCCUUUCCUGCCUCUUAAUCAUUCUGAAUCGAAACUAAUGAUAAACUUCAAUCAAUGACAUUGAGGGGAUGGGUAAGGGAUAAUAUAAAGAGUCCUCUAUGCAUGCUAAUUUGUUGUUACAUGUGACCUAAGAUGGUGGUUUCUUGCUUUAAAGACCUUACUAAUCAUUACAGAGUAUUCUUAUUCUCUGCUCAAUAAUUUGGAAAUGACUUAGGUCCUGUAACUCUCUGUGUCUCUAAUUUCUGAUCUCUGUAUUCAUCCAUGCUGUCUUUAGUACAAGUAUUUAUUUAUGUAGACUUCCCUUGUUCUGUUCUUUAUGUUACAUGGAGGAAAUUCUGAGAAACUUCAUCAGUAGCACUAUGAAACUCCUUCCAUACAGAACAGUCUAGAACAGGCAUUGUCAAACUGGGCUAAAUCUGUUCUGCCAUCUGCUUUUCUAAAGAAAAUGUUGUUGGAACACAACCACGUUCAUUCAUUUCUGUAUUGUCUGUGGCAGAGAUUGACCAUCACGAUAGAGACCAUAUGAGUUGAAAAGCCUAAAACAUUUAUUACCUGGCUCUGAACAGAAAAUACUUGCUGACUUCUGGUCUGGAACAGCACUGUGUAUAUACCUCAGGUUUAAUACUGGAAGUCUCCAUUAGUCCUUCUUCAGAGGUGACUAGAGUGCACAGUCAUAAUGACAGGGCCCCAAGGACUUCUCUAACUCACACUCCCUGUCCAGUCACCUUCACUGCAACAACCAUCUUACCAAGGGGUGCUGUCACUGCUCCUGUCCACUUUCUGGCCGUCAGAUGCCUCGAGAGUUCUUCUUGCCCUUGAUAAGGAAUAAACUUGUCAGUUGCAUGUGGCAGUUUUUCAACUGAUUUGGGAGAUGAUGCAGAUUUUGCUAUUUCUUAACUUUCAAUUGUUGUGUUUUCUGGUUCUCAGUAGGGAGACAUGAAGAAAAUUGCUGAUUCCCUUCAGUUAAAUAACAGUUUAGAUUAAACCAGCAAGAACUUUUGCUCUUUAAUAAAAUGCAAAGUUACCAUGCCUUUCUCCGGCUCGAUCAUUCAUGCAUCAUAAUGUGAAUGGAGUUGUAGGAGUAUGAUGUUUAUUCUCACAAUAGGUUUAAUUCUGAGUAAAAGCACUAAUUGAAAAAUCAGAAGAAUUUUGUCUUUAAGAGCUCAUGUUAAUGCAUGCAUUCAUCCAUCUGAAUUUUGAUGAUCUCGGUUUUUUUCUGUGUAAAUUCUUAUCAGAAUGGAGUGACUCUAAAUUGCGCCCUGCUUGUAACUUUCAUGUAUGAUUUGCUCCCUUGUUGUUUACCAGCCCUUUUAAAACUACAUAGUAGAAAGAAAAUAUUUUAAACAAUGUCACAUCCAGACGGUGAUUUCUCAAAGCUUCAAAUGCAGGCUUUAAUCCUUCUCCCAGGUUAGCCAGACUCAGGCUGCUGCACAGCACUGGGGCUUUUCAGACACAUUAAGGAUUCUGGACAGGCUUCACCCCAGACACCCUUGUGCUC
rnacentral:lncRNA from 1 species